CCGACGGUGAGAGGCGAAAGCUGGGGGCACGAACCGGAUUAGAUACCCGGGUAGUCCCAGCCGUAAACGAUGCUCGCUAGGUGUCUGGGAUGGUGCGACCGUUUCAGGUGCCGCAGGGAAGCCGUGAAGCGAGCCACCUGGGAAGUACGGCCGCAAGGCUGAAACUUAAAGGAAUUGGCGGGGGAGCACUACAACGGGUGGAGCCUGCGGUUUAAUUGGACUCAACGCCGGAAAACUCACCUGGGC
rnacentral:rRNA from 1 species